rnacentral:rRNA from 1 species
CCGGCACGGGUGAGUAACACGUAUCCAACCUGCCGUCUACUCUUGGACAGCCUUCUGAAAGGAAGAUAAUACAAGAUGGCAUCAUGAGUUCACAUGUUCACAUGAUUAAAGGUAUUCCGGUAGACGAUGGGGAUGCGUUCCAUUAGAUAGUAGGCGGGGUAACGGCCCACCUAGUCUUCGAUGGAUAGGGGUUCUGAGAGGAAGGUCCCCCACAUUGGAACUGAGACACGGUCCAA